GUCUUUCUCUAGAAGAAAGAGAGUUGGGUAGGGACAAGGAGGGGAAGAGAAAGCUCUGAGCCCUUAUCCUGGAUUAGCGGGUUUGAUAAGAGACUGAAAAGCAUGAAGUAGCCCACAAGAAGAAGAGGAAGCUCUGGGGCAAACCCAGAGCUGCCUGCUUGCCUUCUGUUUUCAUUAGGACUUCUCAGGGUGUCUGGAUUGGAUCCUGGAAGUAGAUGUUUGAUCUGGAGAGAGAGAGAGAGAGUUGGGACAACAAAUUUCAAGCUAUUAAGUGCCAACCCCCAGCAUUCCCUCUGAUGAAGGAAGGAAGAAAAUAAGAAAAAUGGGGGAAACCCACAUAUUUACAACAGAUUUAAC